rnacentral:rRNA from 1 species
UACGUAGGGAGCAAGCGUUGUCCGGAAUCAUUGGGCGUAAAGCGCGCGUAGGUGGCCUCGUAAGUCCGCUGUAAAAGUCAAAGGCUCAACCUUUGAAAGCCGGUGGAUACUGCGGGGCUAGAGUACGGAAGAGGCGAGUGGAAUUCCCGGUGUAGCGGUGAAAUUCGUAGAUAUUCGCAAGAACACCAGUGGCGAAGGCGGACUUACUGGACCGGUUCUGACGCUGAGGCGCGAAAGCGUGGGGAGCAAACAGG